GGCCCCAUCGUCUAAUUGGUGAGGACACUGCGCUUUCAAUGCAGCAAAACGGGUUCAAAUCCCGUUGGGGCUA
rnacentral:tRNA from 1 species